rnacentral:rRNA from 1 species
UACGCAGGUGGCAAGCGUUGUUCGGAAUUACUGGGCGUAAAGGGCGCGUAGGCGGCCUACUAAGUCAGACGUGAAAUCCCCCGGCUUAACCUGGGAACUGCGUCUGAUACUGGAAGGCUUGAGUAUGGGAGAGGGAUGUAGAAUUCCAGGUGUAGCGGUGAAAUGCGUAGAUAUCUGGAGGAAUACCGGUGGCGAAGGCGGCAUCCUGGACCAUUACUGACGCUGAGGCGCGAAAGCUAGGGGAGCAAACGGG